CUUUUUUUAAGUUUGAUUGACUUGCUUUAAUUAACUAGUUGUUCAAGUCAAUCUUGUGUAUCCAAGUUAAUUGUCCCAAAACUAGUGAAUUAAUUAAAAACUUUGAGCUGCUUUGAGGUAUAAUUCAUAUACUAUAUGAUUCACCCAUUUAAAGCAUACAAUUCAGUGAUUUUUUUGGUAGCUUUUGAUUUAAAAGCUAAUGUGCAUCUAUUGUAGAAAACAUAAGCAGUACUCAUGUGCAGAAUUUAAUGUGAAAGCUCUCUGCAGUCAUCUCUACCCAGUGAAUGUCUGCUUUUACAAGUUGAAUUAUAUAUAAAUUAUAUAUAUGACAGAUAAACUCAGGGGGAAAAAAUGACUAAAUUCUGUUCCUAGGCAUAACCACCAAAACUUUCAAAAUUAUCCCCCUGUUUGAGGUUGUUCUUUUUUCCCCAGCAUGAACUUCAGAAUGUCUUACACAUUCAUACGCUGGCUGGAGGGUGCUGAAGGCUGGCCCCGGGUGUCUUCUCUUUGCUGACUCUCUGGAGGCAGCAGGCCACCUCUCUCUGUGGAAACCAGUCUUGGAAAACGUCCUCUGAGACUAGACCAAGUACAGGAUGGCCUCGAAUGGGAUGGAUGGAAGAGCUGUGCGCUGGUUAAUAAAACUUGGUUUUCGAGCGUUUCCCUGCCCCAGGAGGGCAGUGGGCCCCAUGUCCAAUUCAUCAAGUGCCUAAUGAGUGGCCUCGGAGGUCCCGGCCCAUCCAUUCCAGGAGCUCUCUCUGCCUCGUAAAGCUCAUUUCCCUUUGCCAAGUUGUCGGGACCCUGCGAGCUCCAGGCUUGGGUGACGUCUGCCCCCAACACGGAGGGGAAGCUAGAAUCUGGGCACCAGGAACUUGAGGUACACGUAUCACUCAGGGCCCGGGAACCUGAGAGACCUGGCAAAGGUUGAGAGAGUGGGGCGGUGGCUGGGUUGCAGGGUCCCCGGGGCCAGAGGACCCCCAAAUUUCCACAUAGCAGUCUGGCUGGGUCUGGGUUCCUCCUCUCUG
rnacentral:lncRNA from 1 species